CAAAGAAACAAAACAAAAAAUCCAGUCCCUCUUUAAACGUAAAUUGCUCUCACACUUGUUUUAACUAAAUGUUUACAUAUAUAUAAAUUGAAAUCAUUUCAACAACAGGCUACUGUCGUACUGAUGACAAGUUUUCAUUCAGCAUCUCUGCAUCUUCAAGUUCAAGGUCACAACAAGUUUGUCUUACAUGAACUGGUUCCCUGAUUGUAUUUGGAUAACAGACGUUCUUCUAUCGCACUGCAACUCAGGACUCUUGUAGAAGUUGAACUUUACCAGUUUGAAGGUGUACAACUGUGCAAGUAUUGAAUAUCAGCUUCAAAUGCAAUGUGAUCUAAAAGACAGCAUAAUGAUGGACAGAUGUUCUCUGGUCGUUAGUACUUGUUUGCCACACACAUGAAGAUAUUGAUCCUGCUUUCAGCUAAAUAUCAGAAAAAUUAAGAACAAAGGAAAGGAUGCUGAAACUGUACAGUUACCAGUCAGGAUUGUUUCAGAAGUGACAUUAUAAUACAAUAUAUGUUACUGGCUAAUUCCUAUGAUUUGUAAUUUUAAACAAAACACAUAGACUUUGCAUUAUUGUUUUACAAGAGAGACACCAAAAGAUGCAGUCAACAUUUAUCAUUUUUAUCAAAAUACACCCAGGACAAAUCAUGGGUACACUUAGCUUGAAAUAUGAUGCUUUCAUACCAAAAUUGCCUGGACAUAAAAGAAAUAAAGAACCAAAAUUCAUGUCAGCAAUCAUGCAGGAGAUAAGAUGAAAGAAUAAAGAAUAAGGCAGGAGUGAAAGGAAGAGAAAAAGUCAUCAAUAAAGAAACAGAUCAAUUUACAUUAACAUGUAAUAAUUCCAUCUGAAUAUAACAAGCAUUGCACAUGUUAUGAAGAUUUAUUCACAUGUUACUAUGAUUUGUAGUUAUAUUUUAUUGUAUGUAUUUGUAAUAUUAUAUAGAACAUGUAUUUUAUUUUAGAACAGUAUUUUUCUUUUUCAACGAGCCUGCAACUUUUGUCGCAGAAAGCUCGACAUAGGGAUAGUGAUCCGGCGGCGGCGGUGGCGGCGUUAGCUAACUUCUUAAAAGCUUUAUAUUUUAGAAGGUGGAAGACCUGGAUGCUUCAUACUUUGUAUAUAGAUGCCUCAUGUUACGAUGUUUCCGUGUGUCACAUUUCCAUUGACCUUGACCUCAUUUUCAUGGUUCAGUGACUACUUGAAAAAAAAGUUAAGAUUUUUUGUAAUGUUAAUUUCUCUCUUAUUAAGAGUAAUAGGUUAACUAUAUUUGGUAUGUGCGUACCUUGCAAGGUCCUCAUGCCUGUCAGACAGUUUUCACUUGACCUCGACCUCAUUUCUUGGAUCAGUGAACAAGGUUAAGGUUUGGUGGUCAAGUCCAUAUCACAGAUACUAUA